UUCUGUCACUGACUCUGGCAAUAUUUAACUUGACAGGUUGUUUUGACAUAAAACAAAAAAUCUAUCAGCAGAAGUGAGGAGUCAAAAAGCCCACCAUGCUCUGAUUAUGUAUUGCAUUGAACUGCUGCUGCUAAGUUAACAAAUUUCACGUCGCAUGUUGAUGAUAAUAAACCUGAUUCAGAUUAGAGGAAAGUGAGACAGAACUUGGAGGAUGGAUGGGGUUCUGUUGAAGACCCUGAUCUGGAAUUACAUUGAGACUUUAGUUCUUUGCGAUGGUGAGACUAACUCCUGAGGCCUCACAGCUGGACGCAUUUCGAUAUCCCAAGAACGUGGCC